AAAAAGUUUUAUUCUUGCUUGAAAUAUUUAUUGUGAAAUUAUUAUACAUGUAAAUUUUUGUAGGUUUAAUUAAUCUAGAGGGAUAAAUUAAGUUAAGAAUGCAGUAUAAGAUAUUAUAAAUUUAAGUAAUUUUGAUUUAGUAAAUUUUAUAAGUGUUGAUAAAAUAUGUGCCAGCAAUCGCGGUUAUACAUAAUAUACGAGUAAAUAUAAUUAGUUGAUAGUUGAAUGUUGAUUUGAGAAGGAUUUAAGUAAAAAGUUGUAAGGUGGAAUUUUAAUUUUUAGUUAAUUUUUAUUGAAAUAUAUUGAAACUAUGAAAUCUUAAUUUUAAACUAGGAUUAGAUACCCUAUUAUUUUUGAUGUAAAUUUUUAGGCUUGAGUAGUAAUAGUUAUGUUCUUGAAACUUAAAGAAUUUGGCGGUAUUUUAGUCUUUUUAGAGGAAUCUGUCCCUUAAUUCGAUAGUCCACGUUGGACCUUAUUUAAUUUUUUAAUUUGUAUACCGCCGUUAUUAAUUUUUUUUUAGGAAUAAUUUAUUAUUUAAUUGGAUGAAUUUCAGGUCAAGGUGCAGUUUAUAAUUAAGUGGAGAUGGAUUACAUUAUUUUAAGAUAUACGGAUUAUUAAAUUGUAUAUUAAUAUUAAGGUGGAUUUAAAGGUAAUUUUAUUAAGAAUAAUAUGGUGAUUAUAGCUCUAGAAUAUGUACAUAUCGCCCGUCAUUCUCAUUAUUUUAUAGGUGAGACAAGUCGUAACAUAGUAGGUGUACCGGAAGGUGUAUCUGGAAUGAU
rnacentral:ncRNA from 1 species